CAGUGAGUAUAGAUAGGCAGGGAGGGAUAUGCUGGAACUUCCUAUCCCUGCCUGUCUCCACACACACAGUGACCCCUACUGGCCAGUGCUGGUAUUGCAGAGUAAUCUCUUGUUUAUACUGAGAAAAAUACCAGCAUUUGUAUUGCCAGUAUCACUGCAAUAUUGGCACCAGCCAGGAAGCCUCAAAUACUGGCUGUGCUAAUAAAAUAAAAGCCAGGUGGAAUCCCUAAGAGUAGUGUGUGGAAAAAAAAAA